CCUCGGGUGGCUGCAGUGGGGAAUAUUGGACAAUGGGCGAAAGCCUGAUCCAGCCAUGCCGCGUGUGUGAAGAAGGCCUUCGGGUUGUAAAGCACUUUCAGUGGGGAAGAAAGCCUUGGGGCUAAUACCCUCGAGGAAGGACAUCACCCACAGAAGAAGCACCGGCUAACUCCGUGCCAGCAGCCGCGGUAAUACGGAGGGUGCGAGCGUUAAUCGGAAUUACUGGGCGUAAAGCGCGCGUAGGCGGUCUGAUAAGCCGGUUGUGAAAGCCCCGGGCUCAACCUGGGAACGGCAUCCGGAACUGUCAGGCUAGAGUGCAGGAGAGGAAGGUAGAAUUCCCGGUGUAGCGGUGAAAUGCGUAGAGAUCGGGAGGAAUACCAGUGGCGAAGGCGGUCUUCUGGACUGACACUGACGCUGAGGUGCGAAAGCGUGGGUAGCAAACAGGAUUAGAUACCCUGGUAGUC
rnacentral:rRNA from 1 species